UCUAUUUUUAAACUUCACUUGAUAUAUUUUAUGGACCCCGGGUGUCCAGUAAACUAAAGCAGGCAUUUAGGAUUGGCACCAAGAUGUCAAAGAAAAAUCAGUCCCGUCCUCAGAUUGGAGAAAAGAGACACAGGCUGAGACGCAAGGCAGGUGGGAAGGAGAGCUGAUGAGGGAGCAAAAGGGAAACGGAAGGCAGAGCACAAGCUAACACCGUACACCGCCUCCUCUGGAGGGGGAUCUGUGUGACAUUCCUCAGGCGCCCCUGAUGCCCAAAAACAAAGGGAAGGGAAAAACAAAUGGUUAACUGCUAGAGAUCACAGUCAUGCGGGCCACGGGACAUGACUCUUCAUCAGUUUGCAACUGUCUUAGUAAUUUACAAGAAAAACGCCAUCCCCAGAAACCUGUAGACUCACUUCCCUGGGACCCCCACCUCCAUGGGAAAGAAAAUCUUAUGUAAUCAGUCACUCCUCACAAUCCUAGGGCAGCUCUUUUCUGUCCCCAGGUCCUGUCCCUGUGCUAUAAUAAAAUCACCUUUUUGCACCAAAAACGUCUCAAGAAUUCUUUCUUGGCCGUUGUCUCCGGAACCCCCGCCUCCAGACAUGCCGGAAUGAGCUCUGAGGACUGAGAGCCCUGCCUGUGCACUGCAGUGAAGAGACGCCUGACUCCUAGAUUAGCACGGGAGGGACCCUUUUCACUUGUCCAGAGACGCUCAGGGAAGAAGGGAAUUGGGAGGAAAGGUCUUUGGAGUUUCCCGCUUGUCUACGUCCAGCUGCCUGAUGAGUCUUUCCUUCCCUGGGAGUCGGGAGAAGCAGGCUGGCCAUACAGGUACAAAAGCGCAGCGUGAGUCUGGUUUGUGCAGUGCAAACAAGGAAGAGGGUUCUCACCUGGAACCCAAUCAGCCCAGCUUCUUGAUCUUGGAUUUCUCAGCCUCCAGAAGUGUGAAAAAUAAAUGUUUUUCGUUUAAGUCA